UGAACAGUGGAGUGAUCAACUUGAGCCUCCAACAAAGGAAUCACUGGCAGAAGCAUGGAAAUGGAUAUUGCAUAUUAAUCCAAAAGGAAUGUGCAGCCUCCUUGAGUCAUUACAUCUUGUACUAGAGAGCCCAGCAUAUGAUGACGAUAUAAUGACAAGAGAUCCAAUAGGUCUUUAUUUAAUAAUUAGUAGCAUGCCCAAUCAAACUGAA